rnacentral:misc_RNA from 1 species
GAUGAAGAACGCAGCGAAAUGCGAUAAGUAGUGUGAAUUGCAGAAUUCAGUGAAUCAUCGAAUCUUUGAACGCACAUUGCGCCCCUUGGUAUUCCAUGGGGCAUGCCUGUUCGAGCGUCAUUUGUACCCUCAAGCCCCCGGGCUUGGUGUUGGGGAUCGGCGAGCCUCCGCGCCCGCCGUCCCCUAAAUCUAGUGGCGGUCUCGCUGUAGCUUCCUCUGCGUAGUAGCACACCUCGCACUGGGAAACAGCGCGGCCACGCCGUUAAACCCCCAACUUCUGAACGUUUGACCUCGGAUCAGGUAGGAAUACCCGCUGAACUUAAGCAUAUCAAUAAGCGGAGGA